UCGAACGGCGAGAGAGAGCUUGCUUUCUCGAGCGAGUGGCGAACGGGUGAGUAACGCGUGAGGACCUGCCUCAAAGAGGGGGACAACAGUUGGAAACGACUGCUAAUACCGCAUAAGUCGGCAUCGAAAAAGGAGCAAUCCGCUUUGAGAUGGCCUCGCGUCCGAUUAGCUAGUUGGUGAGGUAAUGGCCCACCAAGGCAACGAUCGGUAGCCGGACUGAGAGGUUGAACGGCCACAUUGGGACUGAGACACGGCCCAGACUCCUACGGGAGGCAGCAGUGGGGAAUAUUGCACAAUGGGGGAAACCCUGAUGCAGCGACGCCGCGUGGAGGAAGAAGGUCUUCGGAUUGUAAACUCCUGUUGUUGAGGAAGAUAAUGACGGUACCCAACAAGGAAGUGACGGCUAACUACGUGCCAGCAGCCGCGGUAAAACGUAGGUCACAAGCGUUGUCCGGAAUUACUGGGUGUAAAGGGAGCGCAGGCGGGAAGACAAGUUGGGAGUGAAAUCUAUGGGCUCAACCCAUAAACUGCUUUCAAAACUGUUUUUCUU
rnacentral:rRNA from 1 species